UACGUAGGGGGCAAGCGUUGUCCGGAUUUAUUGGGCGUAAAGAGCGUGUAGGCGGUUUGGUAGGUCCGCUGUGAAAACUCGAGGCUCAACCUCGAGACGCCGGUGGAAACCAUCAGACUAGAGUCCGGAAGAGGAGAGUGGAAUUCCUGGUGUAGCGGUGAAAUGCGCAGAUAUCAAGUGGAACACCAGUGGCGAAGGCGAGUCUCUGGACAUUUCCUGACGCUGAGGCACGAAAGCCAGGGGAGCAAACGGG
rnacentral:rRNA from 1 species